UACGGGGGGAGCAAGCGUUGUUCGGAUUUACUGGGCGUAAAGGGCGCGUAGGCGGCCUCUGCAAGUCGACUGUGAAAUCUCCGGGCUUAACCCGGAAAGGUCAGCCGAUACUGCAGGGCUAGAGUGCAGAAGGGGCAACUGGAAUUCUCGGUGUAGCGGUGAAAUGCGUAGAUAUCGAGAGGAACACCUGCGGCGAAGGCGGGUUGCUGGGCUGACACUGACGCUGACAGCGCGAAAGCGUGGGGAGCGAACAGG
rnacentral:rRNA from 1 species